rnacentral:rRNA from 1 species
GAUGAACGCUGGCGGCGUGCCUAAUACAUGCAAGUCGAGCGAACGGACGAGAAGCUUGCUUCUCUGAUGUUAGCGGCGGACGGGUGAGUAACACGUGGAUAACCUACCUAUAAGACUGGGAUAACUUCGGGAAACCGGAGCUAAUACCGGAUGAUAUUUUGAACCGCAUGGUUCAAAAGUGAAAGACGGUCUUGCUGUCACUUAUAGAUGGAUCCGCGCUGCAUUAGCUAGUUGGUAAGGUAACGGCUUACCAAGGCAACGAUGCAUAGCCGACCUGAGAGGGGGACGGGCCCCAUGGGAACUGAGAACCGGUCCAACCCCCCAGGGGGGGCAGAAGUAGGGAAUUUUCCGAAAGGGGCGAAACCCUGAGGGACAAACGCCGGGGGGGUGAUGAAGGUCUUCGGAUCGUAAAACCUUGUUAUUAGGGAAAAAAAUAUUGGAAAGUAACUGUGCCAAUUUUGACGGUACCAAAUCAAAAAGCACCGGUUAAUCACGU